CUCUUAUCCAGAGAGGCGGAGGGACCGGCCCGAUGAUGCCUCAGCAACCUGUUUUAGUUCGGUAGUUGGAUAGUUAGGUAGUUCGAUAGUCAAGUACGCAACUAAACAACCACACAACUACAAAACUAUAGAACUAAAGCGAGGUGCUAAUUCCGGCAGUAGGGGUAAUCCUGUGAGAUUACCCAAAUUCUGGAAGAUGAGAG
rnacentral:ncRNA from 2 species